rnacentral:sRNA from 1 species
UGGAAAAACGAUAUGGCAGGAGCCAGUCUUGGGGCCCGCUUCUACCGGCAGAUCAAAAGACAUCCCGGGAUCAUCCCGAUGAUCGGCUUAAUCUGCCUGGGCAUGGGCAGCGCUGCGCUCUACUUGCUGCGACUGGCCCUUCGCAGCCCCGACGUCUGGUAAAGGCCGGGCUUGGGAUGCUCACGGGGGCCUGGGUGAGGCAAGAUGGGGUGGAAAUAGGCGGCCCUAGUGGGGAUCCCGUGCCCUGCUGCAUGCACCUUCGACUGUACCGACCGGCAUCUCAGAGCUGGAGCCCACUGCUGACCUGGGAGACCCCCGUAUCCCCUCCAGCCCACCUGGCCGCUCACUCCUCAGCUUGGCCCGCCCUGAAAUGCGGAACCCGCGCCUCUCCCGGCCUGGUUGCCAUGACGACGCCACUCAGCCAGUGCUGGGACAGAAAGAACAACCCAGAGCCCUGGAACCGCCUGAGCCCCAAUGACCAAUACAAGUUCCUUGCAGUUUCCACUGACUAUAAGAAGCUAAAGAAGGACCGGCCAGACUUCUAAGCCAGGCUGGGCUGCCAGUGCCAUGCAAACCACGGACAGCCAGCCCAUCCACUUCUUCCACUCCUCCCCGCAGUCCCCAAGGCAUCAGUCCGGGAACCCUGUCCCGCUCCUGCUUACACAGGCCGGGUUCCCACGCAGAGGGGAGGCUGCUCCACCCCUACUCUCCUCCCUUGCUCCCAGCAGCGGAAGCGCCUCUGACCCUUGGCUUGAGUCCCACGUGGGGGAGGAGAAGGCAGGCAGCACCAGCAGGGGUCCACCAAAAAAGCCCAGACCAGCCCCUCUGCCCUCCUACCCGGGCCUUGAAGGGUGUGGCACAGGCUACAUGUUGAGCGUGGCCUACGUGAGCCAACAAGAAGCAGGGGCCUCUGAGUGCCAAGCGACGUGGCGGGCUCCACGUUAGCCCAGGCUCUGGGAGCCAGCCCAGGGGCGGCGCUGCUCAGCUUGGGCUGGUCCAGGGCCUGCCCAGGCUGGGGCACCUUUGCCUCCCGAGGCGCAGUGCACUCCUCCCCUGCCCAAGCCUACUGCCUCCCCCUGCCGCCAGUACCCCCUCCAGCCCCAGACCUGGGCCUCCCCUCUGUCCCCAGGGAUCAAACAGAAGCAGCCGUGGGCAAAAUACAAUUUCAUUUAGC